GUGGGCAGGAGGGCAGCUGUGUGAGCCCUGCUCUGGCCGAGGGAGACAUGAGGGGGCAUGGGGCUGGUGGGCACAGACAUAGGUCCAUGGUGUCCCUUUGGGCAAGGGAGAGGCCAGGUUGGGUUCACCUCGUAAAUGGUCUUUGGGGUGCAACGCCUUGCCCCAUGCCUGCCUUCCCAGGGUAUUUUCAACAGCAUCUGCUCCAGGAGUGCAGCUGAGGAAGGACUCGGAGCCCCCUUACCCUUCUCCAAGCGCACCUCCCCGGCAAGGAGCUCAAAACCCCAAAACCUCCCUCUCUGCUCAGCAAACCCCACAGCAGGAACCUAGGAACCGGGGGCCAACCCCGACCACCCCUCCCCACCCCACCCCGGCUGUCUCCACCCGCUGCCCCUCCCCGUGCCACCCCCAUCCCCAUCCCCAUCCCCAUCCCCAUCCCCUACAACUGGGGUGGGGUGGGGCGACCCCAUAAGGGACACCAAGACCCUCAGCACCCUCCCCGCGACCGCAGGGCGACUGGGGGAGUCCCGUAGCCCCCCGACGCGCUGCAGGGCUCCCCCUUUUCCCCCCUCCUCCCCUCUCUCCCCUCUUAGGGCGGCGCUGCGGGAUGCUGCCCACCCCCUCCCGCCCCGUCGGCGUGGCCUUAAAUCGGCUCCGCCAAGCCCUCCCGGCUUGCUGCCGGCCGCGGUGGUGGCAGCAGCGGCGGUGUCGGGCGAUGCCCCCCGGCAGCAGCACCCCCCCGGCACCGCCGUGCGCCCCCGGCGACCCCCGGCCAGGCUGCGCGGCCGCCAGAGAACAAAAGAUUGAUGGAUGAAAUUAAGAAGAGGGAUGUGUAAUUGGAAAACAGCUCAGGAAGGCUACAGGCAGCAUAUUGAAGGCAUCCAUCAAACAUCCAGCUAAUGUUGUUAAGGGUGCGUAACACAAACGAGGGCUGCAGGAGACACUAGUUAAAAAAGAAGAGGGAGGAGAAAGGGGAAUAGGCAGGACAGGGGAAAUAGCAAGGGAGGAGAAGAGCCCGCAAGAGAGAAUACAAUCAAUAAUAUUUGUAUUGCAAGUGCAUCCAGAGGCUCCUGUUGGGAUCAGUGCAGGACUGUACAAGCACAUUAAGAGACAGUCCCUGCCCUCUACAGCUUAAACCCAGGAAUUACGGGAUGAUUGCUGGAGAUUGGUUUAGCCGAUCACAAAAAUUUUCUUGUGAUCUUGGAUCUCUUUUAAUAGGAUCUGCUCUGAAUGGGUUUAAAGGCAGAAGGAGAGUAGCUGCUCGUGCCAAGAACAGGCGCAGUAAUGCCUGCCAGCCAGGCAUGCAAUUAAUCUGAGCCACUUAGGGGACUUUGUUUUUAAUUAUAAAAUGUAGGUAAAAAUAUGUGCAGUAAACCUCUGCAAGCCCCACUGGGGCCAUCAGCAAGCUACCCAGAGGCAUUGACACGUGACUGGGUUUUGAUGCUGUGUUUUCAAGAGGAUGGGCUGAUGCCUUAAUGGACCACUUUGUGGGAAAUAUUUCAUGCGGGGUGGACAUUAAGAAAAUGCUAAGGGUAUUUGUGUGGGGAAGGAGGGAGGAUGAAGGCUAAAGCCAUCGGUAGGGCAGGGCAUUCCUGUAGUCCUGGAAACAGGGAAUAAGAGAAACUCUUAAAGACUGAGAAAAGAAAGGUGAAAAAAAUAUAAAGGAACAGAGAAGAGCACAAGCGUGAUGGAUGCAGGGGGGCAGCGGUAGGGGAGAGAAGGUAAGGUUUUAAAGAGAAAACAUCACAUCCCAAGGCAGGUUUUCUGAAAACAGGAUUAAAGUCAGACCCCUCUGUGAGGUUCACAAGUGACCCGGCGCUUUAUGCGAGGCUUAACUUCUCCAGCACUGCACGCUGCAGAAAAGCAAUAGCGAGGAGGUACACACAGAAAUAAAUGAGCAAAGAGCACACA
rnacentral:lncRNA from 1 species